UACGAAGGGGGCCAGCGUUGUUCGGAAUCACUGGGCGUAAAGGGCGCGUAGGCGGCUUUAUAAGUCGGGGGUGAAAGCCUGUGGCUCAACCACAGAAUUGCCUUCGAUACUGUAGAGCUUGAGACCGGAAGAGGUAAGUGGAACUGCGAGUGUAGAGGUGAAAUUCGUAGAUAUUCGCAAGAACACCAGUGGCGAAGGCGGCUCACUGGCCCGGUACUGACGCUGAGGUGCGAAAGCGUGGGGAGCAAACAGG
rnacentral:rRNA from 1 species